rnacentral:lncRNA from 1 species
UGAGAACAAACAGGUACAUAAGAGACGCAUGCCAAGGAUGGAAGGUAACCUUAAGAGGGCAAGGCUAGAACGACAGGGAAAACCCUCCUGGAGAAGGUGGCAUUUGAGUAAAGAAACAGAGAUUCUGAGGGCCAGAGGUCUGGCUCUCAAUCCACUGAGCAAUCCAGCUGCCUACCUUGAGGCUACUUCUUCAAGGAUGGUGCCUCUCAACUCUGGUCCUAAGACAGGUAGGUGAUUCUUAUCAUAUCCUGUCUAGGUAGAUUUGGAAGGCACAGCACCACUCAAUAAUAUUUCCAGCACACAUGGCCUUUGGCAAAUUAUUUAAUCUCAG